AGGACGAACGCUGGCGGCGUGCCUAACACAUGCAAGUCGAACGGGACUAGGGGCAACUCUGGUUCAGUGGCGGACGGGUGCGUAACACGUGAGGAACAUGACCUUCGGCGGGGGAUAGCCGGCCCAACGGCCGGGUAAUACCGCGUACGACCGCUCGGGGACAUCCCUAGGUGGUGAAGCAGCAAUGCGCCGAUGGAGUGCCUCGCGGCCUAUCAGCUAGUUGGUGAGGUAACGGCUCACCAAGGCGACGACGGGUAGCUAGGUCUGAGAGGAUGGCCAGCCACAUUGGGACUGAGACACGGCCCAGACCUCCGUACGGGAGGCAGCAGGUGGGAAUAGUUGCGUACAGUGGACGAAAGUCUAGACGCAGCGACGUCCGCGUAGGUCGGGA
rnacentral:rRNA from 1 species